rnacentral:lncRNA from 1 species
CUUACAUCCCUGUGAAGAAGGUUGAGGAAGCUGAUCCAGGGCCAUGUUUUGAAUACUCUGUGGACGUAAGGUGCCACUGUUGUUCCUUAUCUCCACUAUGGGCCACUGCGAGGUGGAUGAACGGUCUGUGGAAGGUGUUGCACAGGAACCUCCAGCUCAUCACCCACCGCCCCUGCUCACUCUCUUAGACCAACGUUUCUCAAAGUGCUGUCCCCGGACCAGCAGCACCAGCAUUACCCGAGACCUACUGGAUCAGAGCCUCUGGGAGUGCGGCCCAGCAAUCUGGUCCAAGAAGCCCUUCAGAUGCCGGUUCCCACUGUGCAGUAAGGAAAGACUGAAGAAGCUCAACGAUCUGCCCACAUCACCCAAUGAUCAGCAGCAGCGCCCUCAUAGUCCUGGCUCCAAGUUACGCUCUGAGUCCUUGACGGCACUUCUGAAUUAUCAUUGUAAAAGUAUAUUUUUGUGUGACCAUGAGCACAGGAGAAAGCAGAAGCAGAAAAGGGAAUUGUCCAGCCAGGGAAGGCCGUGAGAUGUGGCUCUCAGACCCAAACUGCGUAUGUGAGUGGGCGUUACUUCCACACGGACGCUGGGCUGCACUCAGCCAUGCAUGCGUGUGUGCACGUACGUAUUAUGCAUGUAUGCGUGCCUGUACUCCAGUGCCCUGCCUCAGUGGAGGCUGGGGCCGCCUGCAGGCAUCCAGGAGGCUGUCUGCUAACACUCCCUGUGAGGUGGGUCCAGAGAACUGCUGCCCCUCGGGAUGAGCCCCAGAAGCCCACCCACCAAGGCCUGGAGCCCGCUGCCCUCCUACGAGCAGUCUGCAUCUCACCUUUCUUUCAUCCUGAACAACUUAUUUCCUGUUGUGCCCGGGGAAGGCUGCAGCCUGUGACUCAGGGCAAGCUCCGGGGACGCUUGCCCUGGUCACCAUACCCAGAGGACCUUAAGAAGAAGGAGCAUUUUACAACGUUGAGUUUCCCGCUGGAAGUUAAAACAAGAAACGCAGCAGCGGGGGUUUGCUCCAUCCGGCUGCCUGAGAGCAGCUGCUGCCCAGCCUCGGCAGCCCCCAGCGAGCGGAGAGCAGAACUCGCCCCGGGGAGGCGCCCCUUCCAUCCAAGCCAAACUUCCCUCAGUGACUUCACUGAGAGGCGGUUUACGACAUCAAGAGAAACUCCACGCGUUUGUUUGUAAUAACUUCGGGAUUUUAUGGACCCACAAGAGGGUGUGAUUUAAGAAAACUUUAGCAAGCUAUUCCAAAUACUAAAGUUUUGAAACUUGCUAUGCCAAAUAAUCAUCAAUGGACAUAUUUCAACAUUAAGAAUGAAAAGCUGCAGCAGAACUCCUUUUGAGCAGGGUUUUGGAAGUGGAGAGGUUUGAGAAUGUAUAUUUUUGGUCAUGACAUCCUGGGGUCCUAGGAAAAGACAACUGGAUUUCCAGGAACCCAUUAGGAACAACAUAUGACCUAAUAGAAGUGGGUGCAUGCAGUGCCUCCCUUGUGGGGCAUUAGCCCUAUAAAUAACCUAGAAAACACACGGGCUGAUCCCUUCUCUGUUGCUUCACUUUGAACAUGGUGUUGGAGCGAAUUACAUGAUGUUUUCACUAGGAUUUUUAAGACAAAAUAAUUGAAAGUUUACCAGGAAAGAGAGUGAGCUAAGAAUGGCCCCUUACUACAGUAAUAUGAUAUUUUUUGAGUUCCCAUUCUGUUAGCAAUUGUGUGUUAGCGAUGUUUUUAUUUCCUUAAAUAGCCAACAUUAUAAACCUUUAGAAAUGCUUUUGAACCAUAUUCAACCCUCUCCUUCUGCUGGAAGCGUGCAGGACCCAGUGCAGGAGACACGAACUCCCCACCAUCAGGUCUUGGCCUUUGAACUCCUGGAGACGCACGUUGAAGUGGGUGGCUGCGUGCACCCGAUCACCUGCUCAUCUCGUAACUACAUGCCAUGCGUUCUCCUUGUAAACUCAGAAUCUGUCUCCUACCCCCGCCCCACUCAAUGACCUUCUUGAAGGCACGGUGAACUCUUGUCUCUGUUCACAGCCCAGGCCUCACUGCUGCACCGUUGUUGAAUAAGGUUACUGUGUAUUUACCGUGCUGAGCACUCUGCUCAACCCUGAGGCCGGGGCAAGGAGCAGUCUGCAAAGUGGCCGCCACUCUUGGGCAGCUCAAGUCCUACAGAAAGAGAAUUACCAUUUCAGA